AGCUCUGUAAGCGUAUACCAAAGUUGUUGCAGUUAAAACGCUCGUAGUCGGAUUUUGGCGUGGUACUUCUGAGGUCCCUGAUUGGGUUCCGAGGUUAGUCCCGCCUUUGUGGAUGGAGGCGUGGUGGUGCUUAACUGUAUUGCUGCGUUUUCGCCACUGUUUACUGUGAAAAAAUUAGAGUGUUCAAAGCGAGCGAUUGCCAUGAAUACAUUAGCAUGGAAUAAUAGAAUAGGACCUGAUCCUGUUUUGUUGGUUUGUCGGUAUUAGGUAAUGAUUAAGAGGGACGGUCGGGGGCAUUUGUAUUCCAGGGUUAGAGGUGAAAUUCUUGGAUCCUUGGAAGACAAACAGCUGCGAAAGCGUCUGCCAAGGACGUUUUCA
rnacentral:rRNA from 1 species